UAGCAUAUCAAUAAGCGGAGGAAAAGAAACCAACAGGGAUUGCCUCAGUAACGGCGAGUGAAGCGGCAAGAGCUCAAAUUUGAAAGCUGGCCCCCUCGGGGUCCGCAUUGUAAUUUGCAGAGGAUGCUUCGGGAGUGGCCCCCAUCUAAGUGCUCUGGAACGGGCCGUCAUAGAGGGUGAGAAUCCCGUAUGGGAUGGGGUGUCCGCGACCAUGUGAAGCUCCUUCGACGAGUCGAGUUGUUUGGGAAUGCAGCUCUAAAUGGGUGGUAAAUUUCAUCUAAAGCUAAAUAUUGGCCGGAGACCGAUAGCGCACAAGUAGAGUGAUCGAAAGAUGAAAAGCACUUUGAAAAGAGAGUUAAAAAGCACGUGAAAUUGUUGAAAGGGAAGCGCUUGCGACCAGACUCGCCUACGGGGUUCAGCCGGUAUUCGUACCGGUGUACUUCCCCGUGGGCGGGCCAGCGUCGGUUUGGGCGGCCGGUCAAAGGCCCUCGGAAUGUAACGCCUCUCGGGGCGUCUUAUAGCCGAGGGUGCCAUGCGGCCAGCCCGGACCGAGGAACGCGCUUCGGCACGGACGCUGGCAUAAUGGUCGUAAGCGACCCGUCUUGAAACACGGACCAAGGAGUCUAACAUCUACGCGAGUGUUCGGGUGUCAAACCCGUGCGCGCAGUGAAAGCGAACGGAGGUGGGAACCCUCACGGGUGCACCAUCGACCGAUCCUGAUGUCUUCGGAUGGAUUUGAGUAAGAGCGUAGCUGUUGGGACCCGAAAGAUGGUGAACUAUGCCUGAAUAGGGCGAAGCCAGAGGAAACUCUGGUGGAGGCUCGCAGCGGUUCUGACGUGCAAAUCGAUCGUCAAAUUUGGGUAUAGGGGCGAAAGAC
rnacentral:rRNA from 1 species